rnacentral:lncRNA from 1 species
CGGAGCAGUAGCAAGCUACCAAGGCUCAGUGAAAGCACAAAAGAGGCAUUUCCGCAUAAGUAAGGCUACUACAAGGAUACAACUAGGUGUCGAAUGCCACACAUACAAUGCAUUUCAAAGCAUUAACACAAUAUGCACGAUAUGUGUAGAUACAAUAUGGCAUCACAACAUAACUCUAUGACUCAAGUAUUUAUUAAAAACUCAUAAGAGUCAACAUAGUGUGAUAUUAUAAACAGGGGUCACAAGACCCAAACACUCAAGUCAUACAAGCAACAAGCGAAAGCAUAACAUAUUUGGGUACACAUAUCUAGAAGAUAAAAGGCUGAGAAAGCAUGUCUAUCUAUAAGACCCUCCAUAGGAACUAGACCUCUAUCUCGGAUCCCAAGCUACUCGGUCAACAUCGAUCUUAUCGUCGAAACCACUAGCGAGACUAGAGUCUCCUCUGCAAAACAUAAAUUAAGCAACAGUGAGUACAGAGGCACUCAGCAAGACUUACAUCAUAACUAAUUACAUAUGCAUCAGUAUCAACAAAACCGUUGUGAGGUUUAAUGCAACAAGCCAUCUUUGACUCAGUGGCUAUCCUCUACUACGACUACCAACAGUUUAAUAAUGUGAGAAAGCGCACACGAGUCCACUAGCUAGUCACCACAACAAUACAUCACUAUGGAUCCACUCCCGUCUCCCUACGAGAAGGCCAUCCAUAGCAUUCACACUUAUCUUUCACAUUUUACAGUAGCCACUUCAAGUUGUCUAUGACCAUAUAAGUUUCCAAGUAGUCCAUAUCCGCGGACGCGGCUAUUCGAAUAGAUGAACACCCUGCAAGGGUGUACUUCUUCACACACGCUCUCACCAUUUAUCACCAUAUGCACGUCAUGCAUCUCAGCAACCUUCAAGCGGAAGCACUAGCGUGGGCGUCGGCCACGACCUGACUAACCACACAAGACUCUAGUCCAUGUUUAUCGCCUAUUUGAAUGGUUCCCAAGCCCACCUCAAUGGAUGGUACUACGCUUGGUACACCGGGCCACGAUGCCUAGUCUGUCCCAAGCCCACGUGUACGGGUUGCCACUCGGUAGACUACUAGCAUGACCUACAAACACCAGAAACUAGCUGCAACUCCUGGACAAAGAUCUAGGCGAUUAAUAAGUUGAGAGAGUCAGUUAAGGAACCCAAUGUGUGGUAGUAGCUAGUCUUGGAUAACAUACACAUGACUCGGUUUUUAAGGGCGGUCCGAAUGAGACAACCCACCAUGUACUCCUACAUGGCCUCUCAUCGCUACCUUUACCAAAUCAGGUUCACGCACUUAGCUUUCAUCUUUAGAACAUGAUCACAUUCAUUCCAAACCAUCACCCAGAUGGAUCAGACCUGACAUGACUCUUAACAUAGCAAGCAUGGCAGGGAUAAGGCAUAACAUGGCUCAAGAAUCUACCAGGUAUGCUAGGUUACUUGGUUCAACUAUUUACUCUCACAAUGACAGGUCAUGCACAUGAAUGGGUUCAAAUACCGUAACAGGUAACAGUUGAAAUGUAUUGUCCUAAUGCAAUAAGUGAGAGCAAGAGCGAGAGAGUGAGGUUGUAUUGGAAUGCUCAAGGGGGUUUGCUUGCUUGAUAAAAUGUCAACAUGUUACUGUUCCUUAGAUGGAUACUCGAUUGUACCCUUCAGAACAGGACCUAACAUGAAGAAACAACCAUCAAAGGGGAACAAAUCAAUACACAUCAAAUGCAACAAUAUGAUGCAUGAAUAUGACAUGGCAAUAUGAUGUGGUUUCGCCUAAUGCACCUAGAAACAGAUUUAAAUGAAGUAGGUUUGAACCCAAGGUUCAAAUUCAACUCCAUAUACGAGGCUACAUAAUGCAUUUUGAACAAAAUGUCAAACAUCUCCUAUUUAGGUUACUAUAUCAUGCAUAAAAAUAGUACAGAUGGAUUCUUUGGAUUUUUUGAUAAUUUUUCAUAUAUAAUUUAUUUCACUUGAAGUUACGGUUGAAUUUCUAUGUAAUUUACAAGUUUUAGCAAUUCCUGGAAUUUAUUUAAAAUCACAAAGUAGUUAUUGCGUGAGCCUUGUGUUACAAUGAUGUCAGGAGGUCAAGGGCGCCAGCCCAGGUCAAACCUGUGGCUGGGCCACACAUGUCGGUGGCUCAGGGUUAACAGGGUUUAUUUAGAUUUAACUCUCUGUUAAUUUGGUUAGGUGGGGCCCUUCGUCAGUGACCCAGGGGUUAAUUAAUAGGGGGUUAGCGCUAAAUUAAAACCCUGACCAGCGGGACCCACCAGCGAGUGGCUCAAGCGACGAUGCUCGAUGUCGGCGACCUCUGGAAGCGGCAGUGUGUGCGCUACCAGCCACUGGAGCGGCGACAGAGACCACUGGGGCAUAGCCCGUGCUCGCCCGCAUCCAAAGCAGCAGGCUGGGGUGCGGGGAAUGCCGGAGCUGACGACAACGACGCCAGAGGCGAGGCCGAAGCUCGGCCAGGACGGGCUCGACUCUAGGAGACACGGGAGAAGGAGAUGGUGGUCGAUGAAGCUUCUACAGACCCCUACGAGCACGCCGGAGUGCUCAAACGAGCAGGGCAGGUGCUCUGGCCACACCGGCCAUGUCGCCGGCGGCAAGAGCUCUCGGCCCCGGUAGCUAGAGGGCUAGAAGGGAGGAAAAUGACGGGGCAAGGGGGAAAAGCAAUCGGGGCUCACCGCGGAGCUAUUGGCGCUGACGGUAGGAUCAGAGGCAUGUUGUGGCUGGCGAAUCGAUGGCGGCAAGACACGAUGACCGACGACGAUGAGGUGGAUGGAUGCGUCGAUUCGGGGCCUCUAGGCUCGAUUCCUACGGCGGGAGGACACGGAAGGGCCUCGGAGCUGGCUGUGGCUGUCACGGCGAUGCGUCCAUGGCGGUUUCGGCAAGAAGCAGAGGGCGAGGGAGAGAGAGGGGGAGAAAAUGAGCUGGAGGGCGGGAUGGAAGAGGACGGCUUUG